CCGCACGUAAGACGCAGGCGCUCUCGAUUAUUUUCGCGAUUCAGGUAGAUGUGGAUGAUUUCCACCAUGUUUCCUUUUCGUUUAUAACUGGUUCUUCAUGGGUUGUGGUAGUUCUUCGUCGGGUGCUGUGAUAACAACUCAGCAAUCGACCGUGGUCACACCACAGUAUAAUGGAACUCAAACUGUAGCGCAAUAUCCAUCAUCUUACCCACAACAAGCAGUCUAACCCCAACAACGUGGACCACCACCACCUUACUACAGCCAGCGUUAUCCUGGUCAGCCUGUGGGAUAUGGAACCCCUGGGGUCAUUCAGCAAUCCCAGACAGUUGUGGUCCAGGACAGAGAUAGAGGUGGAGACCUCUUGGUUGGAAUGGCAGCUGGUGCAGUAAUGGCAAAUGCUCUACACGGACCUCAUUAUUACGGGCAUGGGUCACAAAUCCACAUACAUGAUCAUGACCACUUCCAUAGCGGGGGAGAUCACUUUCAUGAGCACCAUCACUAUGGAGGUCCUGAGUAUCAUGAACAUUAUGGUGACACGGGUGGGUUUGAUGGUGGUGGUGGAUUUGAUGAUGGUGGUGGAUUUGAUGGGGGAGGCUUUGAUGAUGGAGGAGGGUUUGAUUAAACUAAAGUUACAUGUUCUAGAUGAAUGUAAAGACUGCACAAAUACAAAAAGUAGCCAGUAGAUAUUGGGAUUUCUAUCAGUCAGCCAACAAGGGGCAAAAUUCACUGUAUAAAUUAUAUCUAACCAUGUUGCCCCCCUUAUGAAAUUAAGAACACUGGAAUAAAAAUUGCACUUUCCUUAGCUGCAAACUUAUUGAAACCACUCAGAGAAAUAGCCUGAAAUAAGACAAGGUGCUAGCUUUGAAUGAAAGAUGACUAACUAAAUGCCCUAGACAUGUACUAGUAACUUUUGUCAAUAAGCCAUGCUAUAACUACUGGAAGCUUAUAACCUAGCUGGCUCAUAUGCUUCUGUUACUACUUAAACUAUUUGUAUGGAUUAUCUGAGGUAUCCUUUUAGAACAGAGUAGAGGUCUUUUCUUUUGCAAAAAUGGUCUCUGCUUUCUCAGGCUUCAUUUAAGUUUUUGUGUUCGUAAAUCAUUUUAAGUUCUUUUAUCCUACAUAUAUGUAAAAAGGCUGAUAGUUUCUAAAGAAACUGUUUGGGGCUGCAUCGGUAGGGGUAACGAAA